rnacentral:rRNA from 1 species
GAUGAACGCUAGCGGCAGGCCUAAUACAUGCAAGUCGGACGGGAUUCAGGAGCUUGCUUCUGAUGAGAGUGGCGCACGGGUGCGUAACACGUAUGUAACCUACCUUUAUCAGGGGGAUAGCCUCUCGAAAGAGAGAUUAAGCCCGCAUAAAAUCACAGCACAGCAUUGUGUAACGAUCAAAUAUUUAUAGGAUAAAGAUGGGCAUGCGGAACAUUAGCUAGAUGGCGGGGUAACGGCCCACCAUGGCGACGAUGUUUAGGGGAUCUGAGAGGAUGGCCCCCCACACUGGUACUGAGACACGGACCAGACUCCCACGGGAGGCAGCAGUAAGGAAUAUUGGUCAAUGGGCGGAAGCCUGAACCAGCCAUGCCGCGUGCAGGAAGACGGCCCUACGGGUUGUAAACUGCUUUUAUACGGGAAUAAACCCAGAUACGUGUAUCUGGCUGAAUGUACUGUAAGAAUAAGGAUCGGCUAACUCCGUG